rnacentral:rRNA from 1 species
CCUACGGGAGGCUGCAGUGAGGAAUAUUGGUCAAUGGGAGAGAUCCUGAACCAGCCAAGUCGCGUGAGGGAAGAUGGCCCUAUGGGUUGUAAACCUCUUUUGUCGGGGAGCAAAAGCCGCGACGCGUCGCGUACUGAGUGUACCCGAAGAAAAAGCAUCGGCUAACUCCGUGCCAGCAGCCGCGGUAAUACGGAGGAUGCGAGCGUUAUCCGGAUUUAUUGGGUUUAAAGGGUGCGUAGGCGGUAGAUUAAGUCAGCGGUAAAAUUGAGGGGCUCAACCCCGUCGAGCCGUUGAAACUGGUUGUCUUGAGUGGGUGAGAAGUAUGCGGAAUGCGUGGUGUAGCGGUGAAAUGCAUAGAUAUCACGCAGAACUCCGAUUGCGAAGGCAGCAUACCGGCGCUCAACUGACGCUCAGGCACGAAAGUGUGGGUAUCGAACAGGAUUAGAUACCCUUGUAGUC